rnacentral:rRNA from 1 species
UACAGAGGUGGCAAGCGUUGUUCGGAAUUACUGGGCGUAAAGGGCGCGUAGGCGGCUUGGUCAGUCCCGUGUGAAAUCCCUCGGCUCAACUGAGGAACUGCACGGGAAACUGCCUGGCUUGAGUUCGGGAGAGGGAAGCGGAAUUCCGGGUGUAGCGGUGAAAUGCGUAGAUAUCAGGAGGAACACCAAUAGCGAAGGCAGCUCGCUGGGACGUUACUGACACUGAGGCGCGAAAGCGUGGGGAGCGAACAGG